AUAAUAGUGCCAGUUUUAAGCGGGAAACAUACCAAGAAGAAACAUGAACAAUUCAUCCAGAAGUUAUUAGAUUUCUUCCAGCCUUCACUUCUUCCAUGAAGUUCGGUGAUUUCUAUGUAAUGAUGGCUUCACGAUGACUUUCUGUAGGCCGCGAUAAUAUCGAUAACAGCGUUCUUCGCAUCUAAUCAUUGAUUACCCAAUAGCCGCUUGUUCCCAUAGAGUGUCGGCUUGGAGUGCGUGUCGUUCUCUCUCCUCGC
rnacentral:lncRNA from 1 species